GUCCAGCUGAUGAGUCCCAAAUAGGACGAAACGUGCGUCCUGGAU
rnacentral:hammerhead_ribozyme from 1 species